AGUGAACGCUGGCGGCGUGCUUAACACAUGCAAGUCGAACGAGAACGGGUUAUAGUUUACUAUAACUGUCAGCUAAGUGGCGCACGGGUGAGUAAUAUAUAGGUAACGUGCCCUAGAGAGGGGGAUAACAUUUGGAAACGAAUGCUAAUACCCCAUAUGCCUUUAAGACUUAAGUCUGCAAGGGAAAUAUUUAUAGCUCUAGGAUCGGCCUGUACGGUAUCAGUUUGUUGGUGAGGUAAUGGCUCACCAAGACUAUGACGCCUAACUGGUUUGAGAGGAUGAUCAGUCACACUGGAACUGAGACACGGUCCAGACUCCUACGGGAGGCAGCAGUGGGGAAUAUUGCACAAUGGACGAAAGUCUGAUGCAGCAACGCCGCGUGGAGGAUGACACAUUUCGGUGCGUAAACUCCUUUUAUAUAGGAAGAUAAUGACGGUACUAUAUGAAUAAGCACCGGCUAACUCCG
rnacentral:rRNA from 1 species